ensembl:misc_RNA predicted gene, 24532
AAAUCCACUAUGGCUGUGGAAUAUCACCAUAUUAAUCAUCAUCAUGGUAGAUCUGGCUGGCUAGGUGUGUGUUCCCCUUGUCUCUUUACUCCUUCAUGUGCAUCCCUACUGAAGCUGUGUUCAUCGUCCAAGAGGACAACCUUCCAUGACAGAGGAGAGCAGGUCUUCUAGAGUGUAAAGGUAUCAGAACACCCCUGCUGGAAUCUCUACAAGUGUCUCCUUUACAUCUCUAACAGAGUCCAUCCAUUUCAUUUCUUUCAUAAGAAAUUGUUUUCAGUUCUGGAAU